GAUGAAGAACGUAGCGAAAUGCGAUAAGUAGUGUGAAUUGCAGAAUUCAGUGAAUCAUCGAAUCUUUGAACGCACAUUGCGCCCCUUGGUAUUCCAUGGGGCAUGCCUGUUCGAGCGUCAUUUGUACCCUCAAGCUCUGCUUGGUGUUGGGUGUUUGUCUACCAUCGUGGACUCGCCUUAAAGUCAUUGGCAGCCAGUGUUUUGGUAUUGAAGCGCAGCACAUUUUGCGCCUCUAGUCUAGAACACUAGCGUCCAGUAAGCCUUUUUCCACUUUUGACCUCGGAUCAGGUAGGGAUACCCGCUGAACUUAAGCAUAUCAAUAAGCGGAGGA
rnacentral:misc_RNA from 1 species